rnacentral:lncRNA from 1 species
UUUUUAAAAAUGUAUUUUGUUUUAGGAAGAACUAAAGUUUUUAAUGUUUUUUUAUUUUUUAUUUUUUAGAAGUGAUAUUAUCUAUGUGAAAUUGGGUUACAUUUAACUUUCGUUUUUUUGUUUUUUUAGUUUCUUCAAGAUGAAGAUUAGAAGCUAAUAUGAAGAUUCUAUGUAAUCCUCUUGUAUUGUUUGUAUAAAUAUUUUGGUGGUUUCCUCAUCGAUAAUUCUCUCAAUUUUUUUUUCAAACAACAA